AUUGAACGCUGGCGGCAGGCCUAACACAUGCAAGUCGAGCGGUUGACGGGAGCUUGCUCCCUGAUUCAGCGGCGGACGGGUGAGUAAUGCCUAGGAAUCUGCCUAUUAGUGGGGGACAACGUUUCGAAAGGAACGCUAAUACCGCAUACGUCCUACGGGAGAAAGCAGGGGACCUUCGGGCCUUGCGCUAAUAGAUGAGCCUAGGUCGGAUUAGCUUGUUGGUGAGGUAAUGGCUCACCAAGGCGACGAUCCGUAACUGGGCUGAGAGGAUGAUCAGGCACACUGGAACUGAGACACGGUCCAGACUCCUACGGGAGGCAGCAGUGGGGAAUAUUGGACAAUGGGCGAAAGCCUGAUCCAGCCAUGCCGCGUGUGUGAAGAAGGUCUUCGGAUUGUAAAGCACUUUAAGUUGGGAGGAAGGGUUGUAGAUUAAUACUCUGCAAUUUUGACGUUACCGACAGAAUAAGCACCGGCUAACUCUGUGCCAGCCGCCGCGGUAAGAC
rnacentral:rRNA from 1 species